UGUCCAUCCAUCCAGUCCUGAUUCAAGGCGCAGCGGAGUAACCGCGUUCAAUCCAUCCAGUCUAGAUGGCUGGUGUGCGUUGCUCGAUUGGAUCCGCCGGAGGUGCGGGAUGGGACCGAGGCAAGCCGAUGCGUGCGAUCGAUCGACCGGAGGAGCGGAGCAGCCCUCGCGUGCCGGACGUCGCAAUGCGUGCGAUCCGACCUUCGCCGUGGCCUGCAGUGCGUUCAGGUGGUGGGGGGCAUGGAAUCCCAGGCGCCGACACGAGGCUGUGGCGCGAGCAUUGAAUCAUGCGCUGUCGAUUCGAGUUUCAUUUGUUGGUGAUUCCAUAAUUAAAUUGCAGUUUCUACACGCCAUUACUGGUAAUGGUAUGUGCCGCUCGAGUCCUCCAAUAAUUCAGAGCUAUGUCUUUACUGUACGCGCCUCCAUAUGAUCCGUUUUGCUGCUCUUUGUCAAUUCCCCUCCAGCCCUCCUGCAAAAUCUUCUCCCGCAACCAUGACUGUUCGUGGCCUGUCUGACAUACUUCCUACUACCUCUUCCUUUCCCCAAACUUGUGCAUAUCCAUGUUCUUAUUUAGACUACUCUUUUUGUUCCCAAAUGAUUGCAGGUUUUCUAGCUCGUUGGAGUUUGCUUGCGGUGGGCUUGCUCUUCGAUGGUUCUGCUUGAUUACAAGGUGAAGCACUACCCAGUGUUCUGUGAUACCGUUCCUUCAACCUUGCACGCCCCCACCCCUCGCAAUAGCAGGCGACACCUGGAGAUGGCGACGGCAGCAUUGCCAGCUGCACUCAUGCGCCUCUUCCCCCGUCAGACUGACUUUCGUCCUUGGUGACUCAUGUAAUUAUAAAUACUAGGAGGUUGUCAAUUGAUUUGACCAGAUACUGGAGAAUGGUAUCGAGUUUUUAUUCCAAAUUCUUCGGCCGAUAAUCUCUAAUGGCUUCCCAACAGGUUAAUUAGAACACUAUAGUAAAAUGCGAAAAAAAUUUGUAGCCGUACUGUUCUAGAGGAGGGGUGAAGCCUCAAUAUGGUCUGCUUCUAUCCACAAAUGAGCAAAGCUCAAUAAUCUUGCGGACAUUUCUACAUAUGUAUGUGGAUUUUCAAGACAGGUACAGGCAUUGCAUCAUUCCAAGCAUAAGGUGAGUUUCUUUCUAGAAUUCGAACAGAAUAUGAAUCAAGCUGCAAGGAACUUCACUCCAAGAGAUCUCAGAUCCAUGCCUAAAACUGAAACUUCUCAGUUCUUGACAAACUAAUAGUAUUUCACAAUGUGCUCACGUUUUUGUCGCCUUCCAUGUAGAUGCAGCCUUUCCCUUCUGGGAUGUUCAUGCGCAGCUUUUUCUAACUUACAGUAUUGAAUUUUCAUCCAGAUUAUCACCGAUGGAACCACCAGCUAAUAAAAUGGGGCAGAAAUGCGUCCUCUAUUUGCUCAUACCAUGCACACGAAUGGAUAAUGAAAUAAGUUAUUUACUCUUCAGUUACACAUAAAUCUAAAUAGUUCUCUUCUAUUUUCUCCCUACCAUGCACGAGAGAGUAGUUAUUUACUCUUUAGUUACACAUAGCAUCUAAAUAGUAGUAAUUGAUAUCCUAUAAAAACCUUAAUUUGGAUCCAUCAACUGAUAAUCAUGCAAUCAGUUAACCUCGCUGCUCACAUGCCAUCCCUCUAUUUAUAUACAUGUUUGUAGCUAAGUAGCAACUGACAUCUUAUAAAUAUCAUUAAUUUCCACUGGCCAUUAACAAUUCUGCAUCCAUUUAAACUGACUGCUACGUGCCAUCCCUCUGCUUACAUAGAACGUCUGUAGUAGAUAUUGGAACACUCAACAAUUCCUACUCGUAGGUACCACGCCUACACUCUCCUUAUGUAUUACGCUGGUGCUGUGAGGAAUCUGGCUGGAGCAAAACCAAUGCAUUUUCAAGGCAAAACAUGCACUGGCUGCUGACAUGGUGGCGGCGAGCCGACAAGCCGUCCAACUAUGGCGCCAAGCUGGAGCAAAGUGCUUAGAACUACCUUUUGUUGAGCUACCGGCAGGAAUCGACUAAUAUGAAUCAAUCUGGGGAUGAGUCUCAUCCAAGGAUGGCUUAAAGUAUAGAGCAUGCAUUAGAUGAUACGUUGAACCACGAUGAAUCUACUCACUCCUCCUCAAAGAUAUAUCAUGUGGUGACAAAACCUAUGCAAGAAACCUUCAAGCCACCGACGCUAAAGAUAAUGUCCAACUAAGCACGAGGGUACAAGGAUCCUUCCACGUUCAAUUCCUUUCACAGAAUUAGACCCAAGUUCUUCACUUGGAAGUUAUUAUUAACCCAACAUAUGUUUUUGCUGCCACCUAAUUAUGAAACCAAAAUUUGUAUAUUGUCAGGAAAGAUUGGAAUUCUGUGAAAGGAAUUGGAUGUGUAAUGUUUUAGAUCAUAUAGUCCCAGUAUUAUUAAGCCAUCAUGUACUUGAAGUUAUUUGUGCCCUUAGAAUGCCGCGUUUAGCAAAUCUAAGAACAUGCCCUUCCUUCAGUUAUGUACUCAUAAGUAUUUGGCAGAUUUGAACGUGCAAUCAUCUGAAAGCUUACUCCUUCCAUUUAUGUUCUCA